rnacentral:rRNA from 1 species
AACGAACGCUGGCGGCAGGCUUAACACAUGCAAGUCGAGCGCCCCGCAAGGGGAGCGGCAGACGGGUGAGUAACGCGUGGGAAUCUACCCAUCUCUACGGAAUAACGCAUGGAAACGUGUGCUAAUACCGUAUACGUCCUUAGGGAGACAGAUUUAUCGGAGAUGGAUGAGCCCGCGUUGGAUUAGCUAGUUGGUGGGGUAAAGGCCUACCAAGGCGACGAUCCAUAGCUGGUCUGAGAGGAUGAUCAGCCACACUGGGACUGAGACACGGCCCAGACUCCUACGGGAGGCAGCAGUGGGGAGUAUUGGACAAUGGGCGCAAGCCUGAUCCAGCCAUGCCGCGUGAGUGAUGAAGGCCCUAGGGUUGUAAAGCUCUUUCACCGGUGAAGAUAAUGACGGUAACCGGAGAAGAAGCCCCGGCUAACUUCGUGCCAGCAGCCGCCGUAAGAC